rnacentral:misc_RNA from 1 species
GCAUCAUGAUCAUCAGUAGCGGUCAUGGUGUCGUUGGAGGAGGAUGGCUUACGUCAACGUCGCGGAAUGGAGUCCUGACCAAGUAUCGGAGUGGCUAAAGGGCUUGGAUGACGUGAUCCUUCCGUACAUCCAUUACUUCGUCAAUAACCAGGUGGAUGGGAAAAGGCUUCUGCAACUGAGCCAUGAUGAGUUGCCUUCACUCCACGUCACUAAGAUUGGACACCAAGAAAUAAUUUUACAAGGAGUGGAAUUACUAAGAAAUAUUCAUUACCACUUGCACCAAGAAAAUGUACAGUACUUGGCCCUACGCCUAAGUUCUAAAGCUCGCAGCAUCUACAAUGAGCUUCGGGCACUGUCUGCCUCAUCCAGGGGGGGUGGGGGGAGUGCAGGAGAGGAGGAGGACGGGGAAGAAGAGGAGGAUGGGACGGGAGGGGACCAUGCCAGUGACAAGAAGAAGCAGGAGAGGGUUUCGACGGCUGUCAUUGCAGGCGUCGCAGAUGUUUUGUCAUCCGUCAAGGGAGUUGUGUCAUGGCUCAACAGGCAACCCUUUGAGGGUGUUGAACAAUAUGACAGUCUGAAGAGUGACCUAGUGGAGCUGAGCAUCAGGCUGGCCACCAUCGCGCAGCGGGAUAUGUUUGCAGAAAAUCAGGCCACAGUCAUCCUCCAGUCAUGUCUCAAGCUGGCAAAUAUCUCUGACAAGAUCAUACAGGAAUGCAAUGAUCCACUCAUCAUUCAGCCAGCAUCCCUGGACAUUGCCACUAUUAAGAAGAAAGCAGAUGAUGAAUGGGGAGUGAUGUUGCAGUCAUCCUACCAUGGGGUCCACCAGGUGUCAGGGGUACGAGCACUUAGCCCUGCACAUCAGUGUGGUAAGCUGCAGGAAGGGGAUGAGCUUGUGCAGGUCAGCUACCAGACAGUGGUUGGCUGGGCUCCCCACAAAGUGGCGGCAAUCAUGCAGGAGUGUCCAGUGGAAGUUAUUCUCACAGUGAAAAAGAGACCAUGUCACUCCAACACAGUGACACAGAUCUACUUCAAGCCCUUCCGUCUGCCUAGCAAAAAGAGAACGUACUCCCCAUGGGCAACCUCUGUCAUGAAUUCACCCAGGGAUGACCUCCAGAGCAUUCCCAACCUUCAGCUCCCUGCGUCUGUUGGCAAGUCCUUGCAGCGCACGGAGUCCAAGGAAUCACGUCCGAGGUCCCUCACACCUCCACCAGCACAACAUACUCCCCCACCUCGACCUCUGUCCUCACUCAGCAACGAUGCACGGAACACGACAUCGGACAGCGAGGCAGAAGACUCUGACCUGGAGGACGACCCCUUCUUCUCGGAUAGUGAUGUUGGUGGAUCAUCCCCAAUUAGUGCACGACUCUACCACCCCAAACCACGAGCUCCAGUCCAGAGGCGAGCAACCAUUCCCGGUGCAACUACAAGGCCCUCCUUCAGUUUUGAUAAGCUGCUGCAGGAUGUGAGAUGGCAGCGAGGCGGCCGCAGCCCUGAUGGGACAAUCCCCUCUGAUCCAGAUCUUCGCGCAACUGCUGGGGUAGAACAGCGUGCGGCACGCCCCCAUACUUGUAUUGGUACUGAGAAGAAAGAUCGGGUGACAGGAGGUGGUGAUGUGGCUGCAGUGAAGGAGGAAGGUACAGAGGGAGAUGGACAGGCUGCAGGAUCUAGUAAGAAUGGUACACUGGAAACUCUCUCUUGUAGUGAGACUAGAGAAGGCUCCAGCCAGGAACAGUUGACAGAUGCUGCUGAGGAGAAGCGUGUUGUAAAUGUGAUUCCUCUGCCACCAAGGAAGCCCACAGGUCAGGGUAUCACUCCCACUGUGCUGGAACCUCACUCCCAGCAUGACCACAGUGGAGAUGGCAAGGUGGUUGGGGGAAAGGAGGCUGCAGCUGGGACCUCUGUGUCACCAGGCCAAAAAUGCAAGCCAGCCAGCCUCUCCUCACAGCUCAAAGUGCCUGACAAGACUUUGAAAGCAGGCCAGGAGCUAAAGCUUGACAUCUCAACCAGACAGCGGAGAGUCUCGGAGGACAGGCCCAAACUUGACAAAAGCCACAGCACACCUGCAUAUGACAUGGAGGAGGAGAACACGCUACAAGGGGUGGCCUCACCUGCACUCACACCUCUUGAGAAGUCUCCAGCAAACCAGACUUCGUCACCCAGGUUCUUCAAUGCAGACUCAAAAUCAGCAUUUGCAGUUAGUGGAGGCGACACACCCCCUCGGGUUUCUCGUGAAGGUCAUUCCAAGGGGCAGUCUAGCCAGGCAUCACGGGGAUCAAAGCCCAAGCCUGCCACAAUCAUAUCCUCCGCAACCACAAACAUAGGUGAAGGGUCUACACAACACUUCAAGUCGCAGGUUAUCUUCCCCAUGAGUGCAGCUUCUCAUGGCACUGCACCAUCUACCAUUCAUGGUGUGGGACGUCCAGAAGGUACCAGUGGAGACAACAACCGUGGUGGUAAUGAUGCUGACGGUGGUAGGAGGCCAGCCUGUGGCAGUGGUGGAGGGGGAGGUGGUGGUGGCGACCCUUGGAAUGAGGCAAGAGGUAGUGGUAAUGCGGGUUCUGGUGGAGGUGGCGGGAUAGAGAGGCAACAGGAGGUGAGGGCAGAAGCCUUGGCUAACCCCGAGCCCUCAGCCGUCGUACUUAGGGAGACACGGAGUAGUUCACCCUCGGUCUGGCGUCGAGGACUCUUGGUGGCAGAUCAGGGAAGUCGCCGCAUCUCAUGCCGAGAGCUGGGCCAGGGUGACCACCAGGGAUGGCUGCUCCGCCGCAGGGACAACAAGGGCUUCCUCCUCCCGCACCGCUGGGAACGCCGGUGGUUCAUUCUGAAGAAAAACUACCUUUAUGGCUACCGUGACAGAGAGGCUGUCAGAGCUGACUCCCUCAUCUACCUCCCCGGUUUCCAUGUGUGUCCUGCACCUGAUGUCAAGUCCAAGAAACUGGCUUUCAAGAUCUAUCAUUCCAGUGGAGCCACAUUCUACUUUGCCUGCGAGACUUCAGAAGAACGUAGCCGCUGGAUGAGCCAAAUGGGUCUCUCAGCCAUUUCCUCAGGGUCACAAGGCCGCCAUCAACACCACACUCACCAACAGAAUGUUGGUGAUGAUUUGUACUACAGUGAGACAGACGAGGAAAUGGAAGAGCGAGCUUCCCCUUCACGGCGGUCUCCUCAGUCGCCACAGUCGAGAAUAUCCCCUACCAAAGAACUGGGCAGUUCCCUCUGGCGGGGGGGUUCGGCAAGCCCGGCCCGGGGGCCCAAUGUACGCACUCAGCCCCUCAGCUCUAUCACCUCUACACUUGGCUCAGCUAAGGGCCAGGGACUCAAGUUCCUGCAGUCUUCACGUGAUACACUCAACCAGCCUGUGCCCACUGCAUCCUACAGGAGCUACAGACGCGUCAGUGAAAGUGGAAAUAGGAGCACUUCAACAGGCGAUCUUCGUGGUGGUGCCAGGACAGAGUUGGGGACACCACAGGCUGAUACAGUAAGUACGGCAGAUGCCAGCACCGCCCGCAGGGUCACCCGCAAGAACAGUCUACGUGACCGCUUGCGGCAGCUCCCAGCAUCUCUGACUCUAGAGCGACGCCGGCAAGUCACAAGCAGAAAUGGUCAGCCUACACAACAGCAACAACAACAACAGCUACAGCAACAGCAACAGCAGCUACAGCAACAACAACUGCAGCAACAACAACAACAGCAACAAAAACAGCAACAGCAAAGCCAACACCAACAGCCAAAGCCAAAGAUCUUACCCAAGCACAAGGACAGCAGAGAGGAAGUGGACUAUGAAGUGAUGCAUCCACCUGAGGGAGUGCUGAAGAAGCCAAGUAUCCCUAUGGGGCAGGAGGCUGCCCAGGAUGUGUAUGUGUCCAUAGUGGAGCAACGAGUGCAGGAUGUAAAUGCUGCAUCCACAGAAGUGGCACACCGCCAGUACCCACACUACAUGCUGCCCACACGUGCCAGCAGCCACCAGACACCAGCCAGACCCUCGUCAGUAGACCUGGACACGCGUGCCAGCCCCAGUAGAAGCCCCAGCAGGAGUGGCAAUGGACGCUGGAGUGGCACCCCGCCCCCCAGUGGUCGCUCCAGCCCUUCUAAGCUGGACCUAAGUGGGAGGCGGGGGAGUGUAGGCGGAGAGUCACCCCUACGGCCCAAAUCACCACGAAGAGGCUCCCUGGAUUGCCUGGCCUCAUCACGGCCAAGGGCUCUUUCCCCGCCCAUCUCCCCACUUCACACACCCACUCGCAGCUCACAUGGGUCAACCAGCAGUUUACUGGCCUCAGAGGAGUACAGAGAAGGCUCUCCAGAGAAACUGUGGAUCAACUCACUGCGGUCUGACCAUUCUCGACAGAAGCCAGGCUGCCGUGUAUCCCCAGAGAAGAGGGAAGGGAGAGCCCGAUCUGGCUCUGGAGAGGCUUCAGCCUCUGACCGCCUCAAGCAAACGGCGCUCUAUCAUCCCCUCCAAAUGCGUAACAGAGUGGACCCUAUGAAGGCCACUUUUGAGCUUAGUUUAGAUCCUCACACAUCAAAGAUUUAUACCAGCAAUUCCACAAAUUUGAUCGAGUCCAGCCCCACCAGUGGCAAGCCUCACUUCCUAGGGGAAGAAGCGAGGCUCACAGUUGUGUCUCCAAAGAGGCAGCUAAGGGAGCCCCCCAGGAUGCAGUCCACCCCUCGGCCAGAGGUGCCACCUAGAACCAAGUUCCUGUCGCCCAGUGAGCGCACUCUCCCUUCCGGUACGACUCUCUCCACCAGUGCCUCAACACUGCCCCCACCUUCAUCCUCUGGUCUCAGUGCCUCUUCCUCCACAAGGUCGACAUCCUCACUGCCAAGCUAUCCAUCCCCUCAAGUCAUGGCCUCGCCUGAGAGACUAAAUCUGGGGCACUCCAUAGGACAAGGACUGGGACAUGGGGCGAGCCAGACAAGGACCUCCAAGCAAGUUCCAAACCUCACCAUUCGCACGCACAGUGAGGAGAAUGAUGCGCUCAGAACGCCACUUAAGCCUGCCAUGGGAGUCUCCAUGAUAGGCAAGCAGCGAAGAACACCAGGCAUCCUUUCACCCCGAGAUGUUUUUUUCUCCUCACCUCCGUCCUCACCAACAACCCCCUUCUCUCCCAGUAUUCCGCCACUAAUGUGUGCAUCCCCCAGCACCAGCAUUGGCACUCAGGCGAUACCUAUUACAGCUCACCAGUACAGCUCACUUGCAAAGGCAAAGACAGGCAAAUUACGUCAGCAAAAGGUGACUGACUGAAGUGGUGAGAGAAGCUCAUUCCUUCUAACCUGGUUCCUUUCUCUCUUUGAGAUCCUUCCUCACUACCCAGGCAUGGAAUACCCACCGGUCUUCGAGCCAGGUUCCUAUUCGCUGUGUGGUAGUCCUCCCGAGCCACCCAUCUACCAGGUCCCUGUAACACCUACAAGUGUUGUCCCAGAACACCAAGCUGUUAAUGUGAAUGUGGC